rnacentral:rRNA from 1 species
AUGGCAGGCUUCUCAUCACCACCCGCCACCCUAAACACUCGAAGAAGCGGUGUUGAAGCUCUAAGGCAGCCCUCAAUUGAAUGCUGUCACUCAGCUGAAAGCACAAUGUCUUGCACAUUCAAGCCAGCUUGUGUUUUUGCCACUUUGCUUCCAACCCAUGCUGCACAUGCAAAACAUACUCGUCAAAGCACCAAACUCUUUGGUGAAGGAAGGCUGUGGCGAAACGAGUGGCUGCUGCCUGCUGGUCUCACAAGAUCUAUCCCAUUCGUCGCCUUCCUCAUUAGACUAAGAAUUCUCCCAUGA